GAUGAACGCUGGCGGCGUGCCUAAUACAUGCAAGUCGAGCGAACAGACGAGGAGCUUGCUCCUCUGACGUUAGCGGCGGACGGGUGAGUAACACGUGGAUAACCUACCUAUAAGACUGGGAUAACUUCGGGAAACCGGAGCUAAUACCGGAUAAUAUAUUGAACCGCAUGGUUCAAUAGUGAAAGACGGUUUUGCUGUCACUUAUAGAUGGAUCCGCGCCGCAUUAGCUAGUUGGUAAGGUAACGGCUUACCAAGGCAACGAUGCGUAGCCGACCUGAGAGGGUGAUCCGCCACACGGGAAAGGAGACCCGGUCCAACCCCCUAGGGGAGGAAGCAGUGGGGAAUUUUCCGCAAGGGGCGAAAGCCUGACGGAGCAACCCCGGGGGAGUGAAGAAGGUUUUCGGUUCGUAAACCCCUUUUUUUAGGGAAAAAAAAAUGUGAAAGAAACUAUGCCCGUUUUGACGGUACCUAAGAAAAAAGCCCCGGCUAACUACGU
rnacentral:rRNA from 1 species